GACGAACGCUGGCGGCGUGCUUAACACAUGCAAGUCGAACGGAAAGGCCCUGCUUUUGUGGGGUGCUCGAGUGGCGAACGGGUGAGUAACAUGUGAGUAACCUGCCCUUGACUUUGGGAUAACUUCAGGAAACUGGGGCUAAUACCGGAUAGGAGCUCCUGCUGCAUGGUGGGGGUUGGAAAGUUUCGGCGGUUGGGGAUGGACUCGCGGCUUAUCAGCUUGUUGGUGGGGUAGUGGCUUACCAAGGCUUUGACGGGUAGCCGGCCUGAGAGGGUGACCGGCCACAUUGGGACUGAGAUACGGCCCAGACUCCUACGGGAGGCAGCAGUGGUGAAUAUUGCACAAUGGGCGGAAGCCUGAUGCAGCAACGCCGCGUGCGGGAUGACGGCCUUCGGGUUGUAAACCGCUUUCGCCUGUGACGAAGCGUGAGUGACGGUAAUGGGUAAAGAAGCACCGGCUAACUACGUG
rnacentral:rRNA from 1 species